rnacentral:misc_RNA from 1 species
GAUGAAGAACGUAGUGAAAUGCGAUACGUAAUGUGAAUUGCAGAAUUCAGUGAAUCAUCGAAUCUUUGAACGCACAUUGCGCCCUUUGGUAUUCCGAAGGGCAUGCCUGUUCGAGCGUCAUUAUCACCCCUCAAGCCCCGGCUUGGUGUUGGGCUCUCGGUGGUCGUCUCCGACCACCCGUCUCAAAGAUAGUGACGGCGUCCCAGAGGGAACCGGUACGAGGAGCUUUCACGAGCAUGUACGCGGGACGACUCUGCGGGCGACGGUCUUAUUUACUUUAUAUACAAGUGUUGACCUCGGAUCAGGUAGGAAUACCCGCUGAACUUAAGCAUAUCAAUAAGCGGAGGA